GACGAACGCUGGCGGCGUGCUUAACACAUGCAAGUCGAACGGUGAAGGUGGAGCUUGCUCCGCCGGAUCAGUGGCGAACGGGUGAGUAACACGUGGGCAACCUGCCCCAGACUUCGGGAUAACUCCUCGAAAGAGGCGCUAAUACCGGAUACGAGUUCUGCAGGCAUCUGCGGAAUUGGAAAGUUUUUCGGUCUGGGAUGGGCCCGCGGCCUAUCAGCUUGUUGGUGAGGUAACGGCUCACCAAGGCGACGACGGGUAGGCGGCCUGAGAGGGCGACCGGCCACGCUGGGACUGAGGCACGGCGCAGACUCCUGCGGGAGGAAGCAGUGGGGAAUAUUGGACAAUGGGCGCAAGCCUGAUGCAGAAACGCCGCGUGAGGGAUGACGGCCUUCGGGUUGUAAACCUCUUUUAGUAGGGAAGAAGCGAAAGUGACGGUACCUGCAGAAAAAGCACCGGCUAACUACGUGCCAGCCGCCGCCGUAA
rnacentral:rRNA from 1 species